UUAAGAGGUUGAGGCCUCAGUGAGCCAUGAUUGCACCACUGCACUCCAGCCUAAGGACACAGGCAUAAUAUUCUACAUUAUAAUUUCAGGAAAUUUAUAGACAUUGCUGAGGGAGAACCUUAAAGGCUCCAAGUCAAAAAUUGCUGGAAAAUGUACUGUGGGGUGAAUACUUUUAUCAGUCUUUCUCGACAUCAUUUCAUCAAGUUCUCAAGCUAAAUAAACAACUACUUCAGUGGUGUUGCAGCAAGUUCUCUGGGCUGAAUCCCUUCUGACCAUUGUUGUGAAGAUUCUGGUGUCCCAGUGCCUGAAAAUAGGGAUGCAGCCUGGUGGCUUUUGUGACUCAGCAAAUGACCCGUGGACAAAGCGGCACACCAAGCCCGUCUUGCCAGCUAGUGACAAGUCAGUAGCAUUGUACUGAGUACAAGUCCUGCUGCAGUGUCUGAGAAUAUAUCUCUCGGCAUGAACCCCUCACAUUCUUCUCCUCUCUACUCCCCAAUAUUCAAGAGAACUAUAAUCAUUAUGACUUUUCCUGUUGAGUCAAAUCUAAGCCUUUUCAGAAAAUCUGAGUGAUUUCAAGUUUCAGUUUCAGAUUCAAGUUCUUGCUUUCUUUGUACAAAACGACAGCAUAAAGGCAAUUAUGGUUGUAGCUAAGUGAGAGUAAUUUCUCCAUAUGGUGCUUCAGGUGGCAUUUAAGAUAUUUUUAAGACUUCUGUAGGCAAGUUAAAAAAAUCCUGUUAGUCUGCAAACAUUUCAUCAGCCUCCACAACGUUCACCUACGUGUUGCAAUGUUUCAAAGAUAAUUUGUCAUUUCAAAUCCUUUUUGGAAUGAGCUGGGAAAUAAAUAAGUAUGGAUGAUGC
rnacentral:lncRNA from 1 species